UACGUAGGGGGCAAGCGUUGUCCGGAAUCAUUGGGCGUAAAGCGCGUGUAGGCGGCUUGAUAAGUCUGCUCUGAAAGCCCGGGGCUCAACCCCGGGAGGCGGGUGGAUACUGUCAAGCUCGAGUCCGGAAGAGGAGUGUGGAAUUCCUGGUGUAGCGGUGAAAUGCGUAGAGAUGUGGAGGAACACCGAUGGCGAAGGCAGCCCCCUGGGUCGACACUGACGCUCAUGCACGAAAGCGUGGGGGCAAACAGG
rnacentral:rRNA from 1 species